rnacentral:misc_RNA from 1 species
AAGUCGUAACAAGGUUUCCGUAGGUGAACCUGCGGAAGGAUCAUUUCUGGUACUUGAUAAACUUGGGGUGCAAGCCCGCAAGUGUUAACCAAACACCAACGGAACACGUUUAUUCUGAUCUUUUUAAUACAUGACAACUUUCAACAACGGAUCUCUAGGCUCUU